rnacentral:rRNA from 1 species
UACGGAGGGAGCUAGCGUUGUUCGGAAUUACUGGGCGUAAAGCGCACGUAGGCGGCUUUGUAAGUUAGAGGUGAAAGCCUGGAGCUCAACUCCAGAAUAGCCUUUAAGACUGCAUCGCUUGAAUCCAGGAGAGGUGAGUGGAAUUCCGAGUGUAGAGGUGAAAUUCGUAGAUAUUCGGAAGAACACCAGUGGCGAAGGCGGCUCACUGGACUGGUAUUGACGCUGAGGUGCGAAAGCGUGGGGAGCAAACGGG